GAUGAACGCUGGCGGCGUGCCUAAUACAUGCAAGUCGAGCGAACAGACGAGGAGCUUGCUCCUCUGACGUUAGCGGCGGACGGGUGAGUAACACGUGGAUAACCUACCUAUAAGACUGGGAUAACUUCGGGAAACCGGAGCUAAUACCAGAUAACAUGUUGAACCGCAUGGUUCAACAGUGAAAGACGGUCUUGCUGUCACUUAUAGAUGGAUCCGCGCCGCAUUAGCUAGUUGGUAAGGUAACGGCUUACCAAGGCAACGAUGCGUAGCCGACCUGAGAGGGUGAUCGGCCACACUGGAACUGAGACACGGUCCAGACUCCUACGGGAGGCAGCAGUAGGGAAUCUUCCGCAAUGGGCGAAAGCCUGACGGAGCAACGCCGCGUGAGUGAUGAAGGUCUUCGGAUCGUAAAACUCUGUUAUUAGGGAAGAACAAAUGUGUAAGUAACUAUGCACGUCUUGACGGUACCUAAUCAGAAAGCCACGGCUAACUACGUGCCAGCAGCCGCGGUAAUACGUAGGUGGCAAGCGUUAUCCGGAAUUAUUGGGCGUAAAGCGCGCGUAGGCGGUUUUUUAAGUCUGAUGUGAAAGCCCACGGCUCAACCGUGGAGGGUCAUUGGAAACUGGAAAACUUGAGUGCAGAAGAGGAAAGUGGAAUUCCAUGUGUAGCGGUGAAAUGCGCAGAGAUAUGGAGGAACACCAGUGGCGAAGGCGACUUUCUGGUCUGUAACUGACGCUGAUGUGCGAAAGCGUGGGGAUCAAACAGG
rnacentral:rRNA from 1 species